rnacentral:rRNA from 1 species
AGUUGCGAACGGGUGAGUAACGCGUAGGUAACCUGCCUCAUAGCGGGGGAUAACUAUCCGAAAGGAUAGCUAAUACCGCAUACGACUUACGGGUGAAGGGGGGCGCAAGCUCUCACUAUUAGAUGAGCCUAAGUCGGAUUAGCUAGUUGGUGAGGUAAUGGCUCACCAAGGCGACGAUCUGUAGCUGGUCUUAGAGGAUGAUCAGCCACACCGGAACUGAGACACGGUCCGGACUCCUACGGGAGGCAGCAGUGGGGAAUAUUGGACAAUGGGCGAAAGCCUGAUCCAGCCAUGCCGCGUGUGUGAAGAAGGCCUUUUGGUUGUAAAGCACUUUAAGUAGGGAGGAAAAGCUAGUGGUUAAUACCCAUUAGCCCUGACGUUACCUACAGAAUAAGCACCGGCUAACUCUGUGCCAGCAGCCGCGGUAAUACAGAGGGUGCAAGCGUUAAUCGGAAUUACUGGGCGUAAAGCGCGCGUAGGUGGUUAUUUAAGUCAGAUGUGAAAUCCCCGGGCUUAACCUGGGAACUGCAUCUGAUACUGGAUAACUAGAGUAGGUGAGAGGGGAGUAGAAUUCCAGGUGUAGCGGUGAAAUGCGUAGA